rnacentral:tRNA from 1 species
CAGGACAUAGUUUAAUUAGAAUAUUGGCUUUGGGGGCCAGGGGUAAAGGUUAAAUUCCUUUUGUCUUGA